AGGAGGCAGCAGUGGGGAAUAUUGGUCAAUGGACGCAAGUCUGAACCAGCCAUGCCGCGUGAAGGAUGAAGGCCUUCUGGGUUGUAAACUUCUUUUAUGUGGGAAGAAACCUCUGAUUUCUAUUAGAGUUGACGGUACCAUAGGAAUAAGCACCGGCUAACUCCGUGCCAGCAGCCGCGGUAAUACGGAGGGUGCAAGCGUUAUCCGGAUUUACUGGGUUUAAAGGGUGUGUAGGCGGAUCUUUAAGUCAGUGGUGAAAUCUCCGAGCUUAACUUGGAAACUGCCAUUGAUACUAUUGAUCUUGAAUUCUGUUGAGGUGGGCGGAAUAAGUCAUGUAGCGGUGAAAUGCAUAGAUAUGACUUAGAACACCAAUUGCGAAGGCAGCUCGCUAAGCAGAUAUUGACGCUGAGGCACGAAAGCGUGGGGAUCAAACAGGAUUAGAUACCCUAGUA
rnacentral:rRNA from 1 species